AUGGACAAUGGCUACGAGGCUCUGACCAACAGCGUCACGCCCGAGUCCUGUAGGGUUUCCGUCGCAGAUUUGUCCGAAUGUUUCAUCUGCCGGGACGGUGAGCAGCCGGGCCAGUCGGACCUGGGGCACUUCUGCGACUGCAAGAGCCUGGUAGCGCACCAGCGUUGUCUGCUCACCUGGAUCAAAAAGGGCCUUGGAAGUGAAAAGCGGCCCCGGUGCAACGUCUGCCAUGCGGAGGGAGCUAGAUUUGACAUGAGAAGAAGAAAAGAGAGGAGAGGCAGAUCCCGGCCGGCGCGGAAAGGUAAUGCAUCUGCUGCUUUGUUCCUCUGCGGUGGUGGGCGUGGGUGGAGGAGCAGAUUUUGCAUGUUGACAGCUCGCAUUCCCGACUAAUUACUGCGAAACGGCACCGGGGCUAAACAAGCUCUGGCUUAAUCCAAAAGUCUGUGAUGGUGGAAGGAGCAGGGAUGGUGUGGCCUGAAGGUCUUCAACAGCGGAGCGCAAGAUGAUGGUAAUUUGAGGGCGGCGCACAUUAGCUCUCGCUGGGGAUGGAGAACCUUCCGGAAGGAAGGGAACGUGGCCUAGCUGAGCAUUCUUGGGACAUGGAAAGUAAACUUAGCGCGACAGAGAGAAAGACAAUGAUCUUCCCCCCUAAAGCUGAGCAGAGCAGGCUGUGAGAGAACUAGUGGACACAAGAAAUGAAGGACCGAACCUAAGCAAAGCACUCUGGGGAGAGUGGACUUGGUUAUGGAAUAUUAAACAUUUUUAUUCGGUUGCCAUGUUUAUAAUGCCCGUGAUUAUGCAUUGCCAGUGGGUCUCCACUGUCAGUGGCACACGGCAAUUGUUUAAAAUGCAUUCCGAGUGGCCCUCACCCCAAGGUGCAGAGGCUGGGGAGUGAUGUGUGAUGCUGCUGAGUGUAAGAGUACCAGGGUAUCCUCUUUGCUCUUUAACCAUCUCCCAUGUAGAUCUCCUGUACAAUCCCAUGCGACCGACAUUACGUGAAGAAACCAAUCAGGUUGCCAGGAGGUGUGCUUGGUGUUGUCUUUAGGACAUCCUAGAGAAUGUUGGAAACACCCGAGUCCAGAAGAACUAGGAGUAACAAUUUUUUGGGGAAAGCCAUUUUUAUAGGAAUUUAUGAAAUGUUACAUAUAAUCCAUGCAUUCAUUAUCAAUAACCGAUUACCUGUUGAAGGGUUGCGGUGGUCCAGAGCGUAUUCGAGAGACAUUCUGGAUGGGGCGCCUGUCCGUCAUGGGAAUGUCUCACACACAGUGAUUUAGUCACACGUAAACACACAAAGGCUAGCUCAGAGUCACCAGUUUACCUGACACACAUGCUUUUAGACUAUGGGAAGAAACCAGAGCACCUGGAGCAAAUCCUGGUGAAAAAAAAAAAG
rnacentral:lncRNA from 1 species